rnacentral:rRNA from 1 species
CUGGAACGCGCUUCGGCGCACCCAGAAACCCUUUGUGAACUUAUACCUAUCUGUUGCCUCGGCGCAGGCCGGCCUCUUCACUGAGGCCCCCUGGAAACAGGGAGCAGCCCGCCGGCGGCCAACUAAACUCUUGUUUCUAUAGUGAAUCUCUGAGUAAAAAACAUAAAUGAAUCAAAACUUUCAACAACGGAUCUCUUGGUUCUGGCAUCGAUGAAAAACGCAGCGAAAUGCGAUAAGUAAUGUGAAUUGCAGAAUUCAGUGAAUCAUCGAAUCUUUGAACGCACAUUGCGCCCUCUGGUAUUCCGGAGGGCAUGCCUGUUCGAGCGUCAUUUCAACCCUCAAGCCUGGCUUGGUGAUGGGGCACUGCCUGUAAAAGGGCAGGCCCUGAAAUCUAGUGGCGAGCUCGCCAGGACCCCGAGCGUAAUAAUUAUAUCUCGCUUUGGAAGGCCCUGGCGGUGCCCUGCCGUUAAACCCCCAACUUCUGAAAAUUUGACCUCGGAUCAGUAGAAUACCCGCUGAACUUAAUCUUAUCAAUAAACGGAAGAAAAUAAACC